rnacentral:lncRNA from 1 species
UUACCACUAAGGCCUUGUUUGGUACUAGUGUUUUUGAAGAGAUUGGUGGGGAUAAUCCCCCAAGGGAUUGGGUGAAACCCCAACCUUCACCCAAUCCCUCCAAAUCCCCAUUUAUCCCCAAUACACUAGGUAGGGGUAGUGUAUUGGGUAUUGAGAAAAAUGCAUUAUAAUUUGGGGAUUUGAGGGGAAAUGCGGGGAUGAAACAUGUCAAAUACACUAGAACCAAAUGGUGUUAUGGGAUGUGUGGGGAUUGAGGGGUUUGACCAGGAUAAUCCCCACAAAUUUCCUAAAAUACACUAGUACCAAACAAGGCCUAAGAGUGCAACCGACAUGAAUGGUAAAUAUCUAACUCUUUUGCACACUUCCACCUACCCAUGUAUUUUUAAGGUUGUUAUUCUUGCAGUCUCAGUUCUCUUUUUAACAUGACAUUUUGUUCAGCACUACAAACAACACGAACUCAGGAAAUAUUUCAGGACAAGUGGAACAAUGCCACCAAGAAAAAUAUAUAUCAAAGUAGUAUGCAUCAUAUAUAUGAAGGACAAGGAGAGGAGGACGGCAGCCAAGGAGAGGAGGAGGGCGGCGACCGAGGAGAAGAAGGUGGUCAUGGAAGAGAGAAUCAAAAGCAUUGAAUAAGAGCAAACGUUCAUUUCCAUGGACAUAAGUGGUCUUGAUGACAGAGGUCUAUGGGAGGCUUCAUGAUGGGAGGAUCCAUGGGAGGCAUGGGAGGAUUCAAGUGCCAUGGGCGCCAUGGGCGGUGCAAUGGAUGGAAUGAAAAACAAUGGUGUAAUGAGUUGCUUCCAGAUCCCAAUGACCAUAUGGGCGCCAUGGGUGGUGCAAUGGAUGCAAUGGAAGACUGAAUCUGGCAUUCACCUCAACCUCCAGCAUUUUGUGAACAUGCGACAGUGGCUUCUGGAUUUAUUAACCGAAGCUUCAGACGUCCAUGCUACGUACUGCUUUUACGGUCUGCAUUUGGCACGCAUUUGGCACAUUUGGGAAGCAAGAAAUAGCUCCCGCGACGGGGAAGCAAUGAGGCACGCACGCUUGACGAGCUGCUGAGAAAAGAAAAUCAAGGUCUUAUGUGGAGAUGACCAUGCGGUCCACCUUCAAAUAAAAUGGUGGCAUUGGAUAAGAAGCAACCAAUGGAGGAGAGGAAAGCAAGCCAUGAAGACAAUGCGAGCGAGCGCUGGUAACGGCAAUGGAGGCGAUGCCAUUUGAGAGGCCAUGCGUUCGUUCGUGUUUUUACGCACCUUUCGUUUUUGUUUGCGAUUGCAAACUGAUUGUGGAUUGGAUUUGAACUUGGUAUCAUAUUAUCAUGCCGUGUUGUUGAUUGUGUGUGUUGUGAUCUUUCGAAGUUUUAAUUAUCAUGCCAUGUUUUGUUUCGACAUGUGUGCAAUUGUGGAGUGGUAAAGAGAAAGUUGGC